UGGGGAAUAUUGCACAAUGGGGGAAACCCUGAUGCAGCGACGCCGCGUGAGGGAAGGAGGUUUUCGGAUUGUAAACCUCUGUCUUUGGUGACGAUAAUGACGGUAGCCAAAGAGGAAGCUACGGCUAACUACGUGCCAGCAGCCGCGGUAAUACGUAGGUGGCAAGCGUUAUCCGGAAUUACUGGGUGUAAAGGGAGCGCAGGCGGGAUAGCAAGUCAGCUGUGAAAAACUAUGGGCUCAACCCAUAAACUGCAGUUGAAACUGUUAUUCUUGAGUGGAGUAGAGGCAAGCGGAAUUCCGAGUGUAGCGGUGAAAUGCGUAGAUAUUCGGAGGAACACCAGUGGCGAAGGUGGCUUGCUGGGCUCUAACUGACGCUGAGGCUCGAAAGUGUGGGGAGCAUACAGGAUUAGAUACCCUGGUAGU
rnacentral:rRNA from 1 species